UACGGAGGGUGCGAGCGUUAUCCGGAUUUACUGGGUUUAAAGGGUGUGUAGGCGGAUUAUUAAGUCAGUGGUGAAAUCCCGGGACUCAACCCCGGAACUGCCAUUGAUACUAUUAGUCUUGAAUACUGUGGAGGUGAGCGGAAUGUGUCAUGUAGCGGUGAAAUGCUUAGAGAUGACACAGAACACCGAUUGCGAAGGCAGCUCACUACGCAGUUAUUGACGCUGAGGCACGAAAGCGUGGGGAUCAAACAGG
rnacentral:rRNA from 1 species